UUAAACGCAACUACAUAUAAUAUACAAAAAAAAGAAAAAAAAAAAAAACAUAUAUAUAUAUAGUAACACAAAACGAACGAUAUGGUAUAUUUUAAUAAUUGAUUUGAGAUAAUCAUAACAUGAAAAUUAAACUAAGAAUUUGAACUCUAAAUACUUUAUUUACAACAAUUAUUGUUGAAAGCAAAGUAUAAGUGUUGUAAUAAUAUACAAAUAAAAAAUCAAAUAUAUAUAGUAACAUAAAACGAAGGUAUGGCAUAUUAUAAUAAUUGUUUGAGGUAAUCAUAACAUGAAAAUUAAACUAAGAAUUUGAACUCAAAAUACUUACUGUUCAAAGCAAAUUAUAAAUGUUGUGAUUCAAUUAUAAUAUACAAAUAUAAAAGCAUAUACAUAUAGUAACAAAAAAACGAUUAACGCAUUAAGCUAAUAAUUUGAACUUAAAAUACAAUGCUUUUAAAAAACAUUUAUUAAAUUAAAAGCAAAGGUGUAAAUAUGUUGAAAAUCUCAUUUGACAAAUAUUAUAAUAUGCAAAAAGUAAUAUAGAGGAGGAGAAAUACAAAUAAAAGAAUAUAGUGUUUAUAAGGCCAUAUAAGUAAAUAAUUUUCAUAAAACUAUUAAGUGUAAAAGUCAUACAGGUAAAUAUCUUUCAUAUAAGUAUUAAGUUUAUGAAGGCAUAUAAGUAAAUAAUUUUCAUAUAAGUAUUAAAUGUAAAAUUCAUAUAAGUCAAAAAGUCAUAUAAGUAAUACAUUUUCAUAUAAGUAUUAAGUUUGAAAGUCAUAUAAGUAAAUAAUUUUCAUAUAAGUAUUAAGUUUAUAAAGUCAUAUGGUCAAAAAGUCAUGCAAGUAAAAAAUUUUCAUAUAAGUAUUAAGUUUAUAAAGUCAUGUAAGUAAAUAAUUUUCAUAUAAGUAUUAAGUGUAAAAGUCAUACAGGUAAAUAAUUUUCAUAUAAGUAUUAAGUGUAUAAAGUCAUAUAAGUAAAUAAUUUCCAUAUAAGUAUUAAGUGUAAAAUUUAUACAGGUAAAUAAUUUUCAUAUGAGUAUUAAGUUUAUAAAGUCAUAUAAAUAAUAAAUUUUCAUAUAAUUAUUAAGUGUAAAAGUCAUAUAAGUAAAUAA